UACGGAGGGUGCAAGCGUUAUCCAGAUUCACUGGGUUUAAAGGGUGCGUAGGUGGGUUGGUAAGUCAGUGGUGAAAUCUCCAGGCUUAACUUGGAAACUGCCAUUGAUACUAUCAAUCUUGAAUACCGUGGAGGUCAGCGGAAUAUGUCAUGUAGCGGUGAAAUGCUUAGAUAUGACAUAGAACACCAAUUGCGAAGGCAGCUGGCUACACGAAUAUUGACACUGAUGCACGAAAGCGUGGGGAUCAAACAGG
rnacentral:rRNA from 1 species